UGGUGGAGUGAUUUGUCUGGUUAAUUCCGAUAACGAACGAGACCUUAACCUGCUAAAUAGACCGGUCGGCUUUUGCUGGCCGCUGUCUUCUUAGAGGGACUAACAGCGUUUAGCUGUUGGAAGUUUGAGGCAAUAACA
rnacentral:rRNA from 1 species